UGGGGAAUAUUGGACAAUGGGCGCAAGCCUUAUCCAGCCAUGCCGCGUGUAUGAAGAAGGCCUUUUGGUUGUAAAGCACUUUAAGCGAGGAGGAGGCUACUUGGAUUAAUACUCUAGGAUAGUGGACGUUACUCGCAGAAUAAGCACCGGCUAACUCUGUGCCAGCAGCCGCGGUAAUACAGAGGGUGCGAGCGUUAAUCGGAUUUACUGGGCGUAAAGCGUGCGUAGGCGGCUUCUUAAGUCGGAUGUGAAAUCCCUGAGCUUAACUUAGGAAUUGCAUUCGAUACUGGGAAGCUAGAGUAUGGGAGAGGAUGGUAGAAUUCCAGGUGUAGCGGUGAAAUGCGUAGAGAUCUGGAGGAAUACCGAUGGCGAAGGCAGCCAUCUGGCCUAAUAAUGACGCUGAGGUACGAAAGCAUGGGGAGCAAACAGG
rnacentral:rRNA from 1 species